rnacentral:lncRNA from 1 species
CGGACUUGGUGUCAGAUUUCGUUUAUUAUGUUAAUAAUUAAUAAGGUAUAAAAGUUUUAUUAUACUGUUCAUCAAAAUUACAAAAGGUUUAAUUGUGCAUUCCUAUAACUAAAGUUCUUUAUAGUCAGUAUCUUUUUAACUUGGGUGAUGGAGGAGGCAUGCAAUUUCCAUGCAAACUAAAGUUCUUUGGACAUGAAAAAUAUGUAGAAAUUUACAAAAGGAACUAAAAAAAUUAGAUCAAUAACAAUCGUCGCAACUAUGUGUAUAAUCUCUUAAAAUUUAUGAUCAUUUAUACACCGAUUAAAUUGUUGUUAUUUGAAUAAAAAUCCAAGUUACCGGUUGUCAAAAUGCUAUGUUCUGACAUUUUAAGGUUUGCCGGUCCACGACUCGAAAACAAAGUUCGAGUUAACGGGAUAAAUUUGACCAAGGGAAAACAAAAUUUGUUCGAAUUAGCGAGGAGUUCGAGUUAAGCGAGUUCGAGUUAAGCGGAGUAAAUUACUAUAAAAAACAGUGUCAGAUCCACGGGGAAUUGGAUUUAGUUCGAGUU